GGUUGGCAUACAGUACUUUGGCAAAGGUUAUUCGCUCAGAGAUGGGGAUGAAGUCUUGUCUACAUCUGCUUAUUACAUCUUGGGACUGGAUAAGACUAAACAACUGGAUAAAGAGGAACUCUCACUUUGGUCUGGAGCUGUUUACUACGCCUUUGAUGGGACUCAACAACUGGAAUCCAGUGCAGCUAAUGAAGACAAAUCAGCAUAUGCUUCUGCAACAAAAACCAGGAGGAGGAAAGACACCUUACUUACUUAUUUAUCUAAGUACAGACCACAGAAGGGAGCUCUGUCAAAUCUGAUAAAUUACCUCAAGUGAUGUCACUUGAGUCAGGAUUGGGGCUGAACUUAGAAAGACGUGAAGUUAACAGAUCUCUGUUGACCACCCCUCAUCCCAGCUUCAGGAUAGCAGCUCCAGGCUACAUGCUUCCAGCUUAACAAACCCAGAACUGUCAACAGUAAAAUUGCAUUCUGGGUAAUGUAGGCGUCAGGUUUUGAGAAAGAAGACAGAUACAUAAGAAGGAUGAUAACUCUGGUUCUGCUGCACUUAUUUGGAUCCUGUUUUAACAGUCCCUUGAGAGUUUGGCAAUGUGAUUGCAAGGCUUAAUUGGUAGAGUACUUUUUUUAAACAUGGCUAAAAGGUCCCAAGGUUAGUAUGAUUUAUAAUACCGUAAAAUUACCAGCAACACCUGUCCUACUGGAUUAUUUAAUACUUCUGUUGGAAAACAAGCACAGGUUUGACCCAAGGAAACAUUCGUUUUUCCUCAAGUAAGUGAACAUUGACAAGAAAAUUACAUAAUUUUAUCUAUUUUCGAAGUAGAAACUGGAGUAUCCAGCAUCAAAACAAGAGCAGUUCCCUAAACAGACACCAAUCCACAUUUAACAAGGGAUGCUUUCUAUUCUGUCGUUCAGUAGGUCUGAGAGGGCAAAAUACUGUAGCAUAGCUAAUGUUGUCUUAGACUGCUAACUUUUUUUAGCUCUGUUUCAUCCACCAGUUGACCAAUUAUUUCCUAAAAUAUGAAUACAACUUCAUGACAAAAUGUUCUCACAUUUUUCCAAAAGGUAAAUUUAGAUUUAAAAGGGAUUUUAUUCAUCAUCUAAAACCAAUAUUUUCUAAAAAUGUUUUUCUAGUUUUUAGAAAAUUUCAAUAGAGUUCAAAAUGAUGCUGUAUCUUUUCUAAAUUUAUCAAUUCUUUCAAUCAGACUUCCACUGUAUCAUGAAACAGCUUUAAAAUUGUCACUGUUGAUGUGAUUCAAACAAAGAUUCAUUUUAAGGUUAAAGUUGUUGAGUCUUCUUUAAAAAAAAGGA